GAUUAGAACCUAUGCCCAUGGAAUCCUAGUGCUUACAAGGUGAGGACUUUACCCAUUAGGCUAUUGCAUUGGGCCCCAAAAGACUUUUCUUAAGCUGUCUCAUAAGACAUGAAUUCUGAGUAAAGUUGUUUACCCAGAGUAGGCUUAAUGUACGUUAGAUGAUAUCAGCAAUACUGUCACAUGUCGUAUCACUUCAGAGCUAUCAAUUCUGAGUAUCAAAAUUCAGUAACACUGUUAGUUUUCUAUACAUACUUUGGGAGUAGCCUUCAAAAUAACAUUACCUUUGACUUUUCUCCUUUCAGGAUUCUUGUCAUUGCUAGAGGUGAUAUUCUUAAAAACUGGUGAUGAUUUUGCCUGUUGAAAAAUGCCAGCAGUUAGCUCGUAGUACAUAAUCAGAAUGGACUGAGUUUUAAAUGAUUAGAAAGAAAGUCAGGAUAAAGAAACUGCUAGUUCAAAGCCUGUAAAGAUUGACCUUAACUUGCCUUAAAUAAACAAUAAUGGACAUACAAUUUCAGAAUCAUGUAGCAGCUACAUUCAAAGAGUACUCACUAAGGACUCUAAAUA